AUACUACUGAAGAGUCCCGAAGUGGGACGAAACAGCUGUCCAGUAC
rfam:Trichobilharzia regenti genome assembly, scaffold: TRE_scaffold0003354